AUGGCCCACUUCACAUCUUGCUUGGAAACCGCACAGCUACCGCUUUCAAAAGGCCGAUUUCUGUGUGGAGGGACAUGUAGAAAAGUAAGGGUCGAGUGGGGCGUGCUUAUUUACCGACAUUGGCAACAGAGCUGCUACUCUGGAAGAUCCAUGAUGUCCAGGCCAAGGGAGGAGAGCAGAGCAGCCCAUGCUGACGUCACUUUUAGGAAAACAGGAGUGACUCCAUGGACUGCCUCCCCUGACCCCAAAGGGAAAACCCUGCUUCUCCCAGAGCGGAAGCCCAGGGGAAGCAUCCUGGAGGAGGACGCGGCGUCAAAGUGGGCUGUACUCCGCUGCGGACACGCACGUGGUUGUCAAUCAUUCUUCUCCUCCUGGCCAUGCUCCUGGAGCAGGCACAGUGAGGACRGGUAGGAUUGGUGGAGGAGAUGGGAGCAGAGACCCUGUCCACAAGGAGGGCUGUCCCUAAAUUCACGGAGACCCGUGGGAGGAAGAGGCAGAUGACAAAAGCAGCAAGUCACAGGGCCCCUGCGCUGUCGCGGAGAUCACGUCUACAGAUGGUGGCGGUUCCCUUCACACAGGGCACUAUCUGCUGCCCUACUGCUGCUGAUCCAUCCCACAGAAAGACCACCCCAGAGCCACACGCAAGAGGACAAACCCGGUGCUGCUGGUGUCGCGGAGACGACGUCUUCCAAYACUCAAGUUUCAUAAUUAUAACAGAAAGGCGUAAAUUUUCUAAUGCAUGGCAGUUCAAAAAGUAAUCAAGGGAAUGAGCCGGAGGGCUAUUUUAAUGUAUGCAAAGCUAGUGACCCUCGGUAAAUGGGAGGUUAGCCACAAUGAAUGCAAAGUAAUGCACACACCCCAAGUCCUGCUCUAGUGAGGGACGGCUAAAAUUAACACCCAAUUAAUUUCCGAAUUGACAAACAAAUGAAACCCAUAAAUCUACUUUCUCAUUAAUUUUCUUGUGGUAUAAUUUAAAGCAGUAAUAUGAGGGCAAAAACUGAGUAUUAUCCAUCAUAAACAUCAAAAAGAUAGCACUGUAACACCAUAAAUUAUGCAUAUUACCUGUUGUUAAAAAUGAUUUAUGUAUUAUCAACUUUCCCGUGCACUGUGGAUGUCUAGCUCUAUCUGCUAAAAUCCGGGAUUGCAUUUACCACGAGGGAAGGACAUACUCAGGAGCAGUGGAACUGUCAAAGGCCAAAAACAAAACAAAACAAAACAAAACAAACAAACAAACAAAAAACCAAAAAACCCAAGUGUGGCUACCUAGUCAUACAAGAGACCAGGGAAAAACUGGAACCUCCCCAGGUCUCUGGUGAGUGGAGUUUGAGAGCUUGGAAGCCAGGGGAAGAGACAGAGUCCCUAAGCCGGGCACCUAGGAAGCUCAGCCUGUGUGUCCUGAGGGUAAGCUCAUCUCCCCUCUUUUGCAACAUGAGAAAUGCAGUGCCUGAUGCAGGAAAGGGGCAGGCACAAGAGGGUACUAGAGGGGUCCCACAGCCAGUGGGGGGCAUCUCAGCACACCACAGGACUCGGGAAACCCAGGAAGCUCAGGAAAGCCAUGUCUAGAGGUAGAAUCUGGUGGGCUCACCUGUCUAUAUUUAUACUUCCAAGGGGGUGGGAGAAAAAAACUAGUUUCUGGUUAUUGCUUCAAUCAGAAACAUUGAUCUGUUAAAUAGAAGAGGAGACACUCUAAUUAAAAGUCUAAUCCACCCUUCCACCUCCAUUUGUUUAAAAAAAAAGUAAACCAGGCACGGUGGCACAUGCCUGCAAUCCCAGUGGCUUGGGAGGCUGAGGCAGGAGGAUCAUGAGUUCAAUGCCAGCCUCAGUAACUUAGCAAGGCUCUAAGCAACGCAGCGAGAACCUGUCUCUAAAUAAACACAAAAAAGGUCUGAGG
rnacentral:lncRNA from 1 species